UACGUAGGGUGCAAGCGUUGUCCGGAAUUAUUGGGCGUAAAGAGCUCGUAGGCGGCCUGUUGCGUCCGCUGUGAAAUCCCGGGGCUCAACCCCGGGCCUGCAGUGGAUACGGGCUGGCUAGAGGCAGGCAGGGGAGAACGGAAUUCCGUGGUGUAGCGGUGAAAUGCGCAGAUAUCAGGAGGAACACCGGUGGCGAAGGCGGUCUCUGGCCUGUACUGACGCUGAGGAGCGAAAGCGUGGGGAGCGAACAGG
rnacentral:rRNA from 1 species